UGUUUGGCAGUUUCAACUCCGAUGCGUGUACAAUCCUUGCCCUCGCAUGGAAGGAAGCUGGACGGAGACUACAAAAGAACAGAAGAAGCCAAGUGAUGCUGGUGACAGACCAAUCAGCUUUCAGUGGCGUCGGUGGACAAGAAGGUGGCUCUGCUCCCUCUGGAACCAGAAUUUCCAAACUGUCCCCAGUGAGUCGACAGGUAACCCAUUGCUUUGGAUGACACAUGAAGCUGGGUCUUCUCAGAUCCUGUGCCACUGUUCAUUAGAACAGGGGUGUUGACCCCAGUGUCCAGGCUAAAUUCCACUUUGAACUUGCAAAAGCUGAUACCUACAUCUUUCCUUUAAUUCAAUUGGCGAAAUACCUGCUCUCUUCUGGGGUUGCUGUUACAUAAUGGCAGCAGCGUGGGCACUGAGCUUCAGUCAGUCCCCGCCCGUCUAUAGAGCUCAUUGUGAAGCUUUGGGAUGAAAAAGCUCUAUACAGAUGAAGGGAAUUAUUAAGUUAUUAUUAACAAUGGAAUAAUUAGAUGGCGCAUGUUAACUCAUAAGCUUAUUAACAUUUACAUCCCCAAUUUAAAUAAAAGUAUGCUCCUGCAGUAUUUGUUUACUACUUAGUCCUAUGAAUGCAAACAUAAUCAAAUAUUAAAGAAAUAUCUAAAUAGUCAAAUAUGAAAAUAUUAACAGCAACUGUUCUACAGUAUAUGUAAG
rnacentral:lncRNA from 1 species